GGGAAUGUGGCUUAGUGGUUGAGUGCUUGCCUAGCAUGCAUGAAGCCCGGGGUUCGAUUCCUCAAUACCA
rnacentral:tRNA from 1 species